rnacentral:snRNA from 1 species
ACGAUACAGAGAAGAUUAGCAUGGCCCCUGCGCAAGGAUGACACGCAAAAUCGUGAAGCGUUCCUUUUUUUG